GCGCCGGUGGUGUAAGGCGAACAUCGCUGCCCGGAAAGCAGAAGAUGCUGGUUCGAGUCCCGCCUGACGCA
rnacentral:tRNA from 1 species